rnacentral:sRNA from 1 species
CCCUAGCCCAGAUAGUAGCGGCAUCCUCUUGUAGUCUCGUUUUUAACGAGACUACAAGAGAUAUAGCGGAUAGCUGGAAAUAGC